AAAGUCGUAACAAGGUCUCCGUAGGUGAACCUGCGGAGGGAUCAUUAACGAAUGGUCUCUGUACCUUCAACCCCUCAAACCUGUGGACGUUUAAAAACGUGCUUCGGUGCUUCUGGCGCCGCCUUUAUGCAGAUAAGCAUUUGUGUCUGAACAUACAUGAGAAUUAAAACUUUCAACAAAGGAUCUCUUGGCUCUC
rnacentral:misc_RNA from 1 species